UAAUACGGAGGGUGCAAGCGUUAUCCGGAUUUACUGGGUUUAAAGGGUGCGUAGGCGGGCUUUUAAGUCAGCGGUGAAAUCUCUGGGCUCAACCCAGAAAUUGCCGUUGAUACUAUUAGUCUUGAAUAAUGUUGAGGUGGGCGGAAUGUGUCAUGUAGCGGUGAAAUGCUUAGAUAUGACACAGAACACCGAUUGCGAAGGCAGCUCGCUAAACAUUUAUUGACGCUGAGGCACGAAAGCGUGGGGAUCAAACAGGAUUAGAAACCCUGGUAGUCCACGCCCUAAACGAUGAUUACUCGAUCUUAGCGAUACACUGUUAGGGUCUAUGUGAAAACAUUAAGUAAUCCACCUGGGGAGUACGACCGCAAGGUUG
rnacentral:rRNA from 1 species